rnacentral:rRNA from 1 species
GACGAACGCUGGCGGCGUGCCUAAUACAUGCAAGUCGAACGAGAGCAACCGGUACUUGCACUGGUCAAUCUAGUGGCGAACGGGUGAGUAACACGUGGGUAACCUGCCCAUCAGAGGGGGAUAACAUCCGGAAACGGAUGCUAAAACCGCAUAGGUCUUCGAACCGCAUGGUUUGAAGAGGAAAAGAGGCGCAAGCUUCUGCUGAUGGAUGGACCCGCGGUGCAUUAGCUAGUUGGUGAGGUAACGGCUCACCAAGGCCGUGAUGCAUAGCCGACCUGAGAGGGUGAUCGGCCACAUUGGGACUGAGACACGGCCCAAACUCCUACGGGAGGCAGCAGUAGGGAAUCUUCCGCAAUGGACGCAAGUCUGACGGAGCAACGCCGCGUGAGUGAAGAAGGUUUUCGGAUCGUAAAACUCUGUUGUUAGAGAAGAACAAGUGCUAGAGUAACUGUUAGCGCCUUGACGGUAUCUAACCAGAAAGCCACGGCUAACUACGUG